AAUGGUAGUUUAAUUAAGAAUAAUAAUUUGUGGUAUUAUUGGUGAAUGUUUUAUUCCCUAAAUCC
rnacentral:tRNA from 1 species